UCAACCCUCAAGCCUGGCUUGCUGUUGGGUCCCGUUGGGUGCGAAACCCAACGAACCUCAAAGAUAAUGGCAGAGCCCGUGUGGACCUGGAUGCAGCGAGCUUCUUAGCACGCAUCACAGCGAUCCUCCGGCUCGGUCUUAACCGUCAUUUUUCACU
rnacentral:misc_RNA from 1 species